UAGGGAAUCUUCCGCAAUGGGCGCAAGCUUGACGGAGCAACGCCGCGUGAGUGAUGAAGGUCUUCGGAUCGUAAAACUCUGUUAUUAGGGAAGAACAAAUGUGUAAGUAACUAUGCACGUCUUGACGGUACCUAAUCAGAAAGCCACGGCUAACUACGUGCCAGCAGCCGCGGUAAUACGUAGGUGGCAAGCGUUAUCCGGAAUUAUUGGGCGUAAAGCGCGCGUAGGCGGUUUUUUAAGUCUGAUGUGAAAGCCCACGGCUCAACCGUGGAGGGUCAUUGGAAACUGGAAAACUUGAGUGCAGGAGAGGAAAGUGGAAUUCCAUGUGUAGCGGUGAAAUGCGCAGAGAUAUGGAGGAACACCAGUGGCGAAGGCGACUUUCUGGUCUGUAACUGACGCUGAUGUGCGAAAGCGUGGGGAGCAAACAGG
rnacentral:rRNA from 1 species